UAUGACAUAUAUAAUCUACAAGUAUGUAUGUAUAAUGUAUGUAAAAUUGUUUUCCCCUAUGUGACUCAUUGCUCCAUCUUUCUCUACCGUGAGCUCACUCCCGCGCUCGGCUAUGGAUCUCUCUCUCUCUCUGUGUAUUUAAUCUCAGCUUUUGUUUAAUAUUGGGAGAUCAUUAAUUUCUUCUGCAAUUGAUUUUCUCUAUCUCGUCUCUGGUGAUUCAGCAACUUGACAGUGCACUUUGACAUGCUUCAUCAUCGCAUGUAACUUGAAGUUUGCGAUAAUCAUGGCUUGAUAUCACAAAAAGAAUCCUCAUGGCUUUAAGUGGGUUUAAUGAACCAUUCGAGAGAGUUUUUUUUUUUUGAUUGGCACCAGGGUGUCCGGAUCAAAGCCCGACCAAUCCUCAGGGGUGCACAAGCCCUCGGCAAGGAGUUUUCCGAGCCAUGCAAGAGAGUUUUGCACUCUCCAGCAUCUGUUUAUGCAGAGUUGAUGCUCAUGCUGCUUGAUGAUUUCAACAAAUCUUAGGGCUGAUCUCUGAAACUUUGUUGGUAGCAACUCCUUUGAUGCUUUGUAAACACCAAGGAGAAAGGACAAGAAGAAAGCUAGAUGACUAUAAGGAGAAUGAAGAGAACUUAAAUUUUAGUUCUGUAUGAGAGAGCAGAAUCUGGAUCAGUGUGGCUUCAAAUUAAGCUUGGUGAGCCAAAUAGAUUGGUUGGGGAAAGGAAUAUAUGAGAGAGAGAGCUCUAACCCAUCUGACUGGAUCACUCCUCUUUCUAAUUUGAACCCCUGACCAAUAUUAUUUCUCGUCAUAGUUUGACCCUCCCAAAUAGCUAAAUGUAACCUUACCUGUAGAUCUUGGAUGUAGAAAACUCAUUCGACAAAUAAUAUCCUCUCCUCCCACUAGAUUUGAACUCUGGUCUUGAACUCAUUAUUCUGUCCAAAAAGGAAACCAGAUUACUUAUUAACUCUUCCUUCUCAGUCAGUCUAGAGAAGUAAUAUGUGAUAUUGCUAUUUGCAACUCUUAAUCUAGUCUAACCUUAUCGAUCUCCUAUUUACCUUGUUUCGCAAGCGGAAAUAAUUAUAAUUCAAAAUUUAGGUACAUUGGUACCAGGGUGCAUUAAUGAUGAUUUAUUAAUCUGUGUGGGUAUGAAAAAGCAAUAAGCCAGCGGGUGGUAACAUGAGAGAGAAAUGCUUCUGCACUUGUUUGAUAACACAAGGCUAUGGAAAUAAGUGAGUUGUUACUCUGUCUCACCGCUAGUUAAGAUCCAAAGACAUCUUUAUCUUUAAAACUUAAAAGUUCAUUGGUUUUCUUCCUCUUGAACAACAUAUCUGAUGGCAUAUCUUUCACAAAAUUUAUCUUCAUGUUAUAAGAAGCAGGAAUUUGGUAAAACAGUAUUAUGAAUUCAUGCUAUCUUGUCAAUCUUAACCAUUCCUGUUUUGAAGUAGAUAACACCAUAAGGGCUGACAUAUUUAGGAGACACUGACAGAGACAGUGAUACACAAUUCUUAUUUUCUUCUGCCUUACUGUCUAUUUCAACAUUUGCUUCACCCUUCCAUUUUUCUAGUUCAUCCAGUUGCGACUGAAAAAUAAGGGGGCUGGGGGCAGAGGUGCAUAUGGAACCCUCUGAUUUGUUAGCUUACGAGCUUUGGGAGAGACAGCGAAAAUUAGUUUCCUAGUUUUUGGCUAGUGAUGUGAAUCUUUGAGAUCAAAAUGACAAUUUUUUCAGCUGUUGAUUUCACUUAUCACAGUAAGGCCCAUCUUCUUUCUUCUAAUCCUACUCUCUUUUCUUCU